UACGUAGGGUGCAAGCGUUGUCCGGAAUUAUUGGGCGUAAAGAGCUCGUAGGCGGUUUGUCGCGUCUGCUGUGAAAACUCGAGGCUUAACCUCGAGCUGUCGGCGGAAACCAUCUGGCUAGAGUCCGGAAGAGGAGAAUGGAAUUCCCGGUGUAGCGGUGAAAUGCGCAGAUAUCGGGAAGAACACCCGUGGCGAAGGCGGUUCUCUGGGCCUGCACUGACGCUCAUGCACGAAAGCGUGGGGAGCAAACAGG
rnacentral:rRNA from 1 species